rnacentral:rRNA from 1 species
UACGUAGGGUGCGAGCGUUGUCCGGAAUUACUGGGCGUAAAGAGCUUGUAGGUGGUUUGUCGCGUUGUUCGUGAAAUCUCACGGCUUAACUGUGAGCGUGCGGGCGAUACGGGCAGACUAGAGUACUGCAGGGGAGACUGGAAUUCCUGGUGUAGCGGUGAAAUGCGCAGAUAUCAGGAGGAACACCGGUGGCGAAGGCGGGUCUCUGGGCAGUAACUGACGCUGAGAAGCGAAAGCGUGGGGAGCGAACAGG